GGGGAUAUAGCUCAGUUGGGAGAGCAGUAGACUGAAGUAUUGAAGUUUGAGCGCCAGUAAUACUGUUCUGAAUGACCCGCGUUCAAUCCGCGGUAUCCCCA